rnacentral:rRNA from 1 species
AGCUUGCUACCUGACCUAGCGGCGGACGGGUGAGUAAUGCUUAGGAAUCUGCCUAUUAGUGGGGGACAACAUUCCGAAAGGAAUGCUAAUACCGCAUACGCCCUACGGGGGAAAGCAGGGGAUCUUCGGACCUUGCGCUAAUAGAUGAGCCUAAGUCAGAUUAGCUAGUUGGUGGGGUAAAGGCCUACCAAGGCGACGAUCUGUAGCGGGUCUGAGAGGAUGAUCCGCCACACUGGGACUGAGACACGGCCCAGACUCCUACGGGAGGCAGCAGUGGGGAAUAUUGGACAAUGGGCGAAAGCCUGAUCCAGCCAUGCCGCGUGUGUGAAGAAGGCCUUUUGGUUGUAAAGCACUUUAAGCGAGGAGGAGGCUACUUGGAUUAAUACUCUAGGAUAGUGGACGUUACUCGCAGAAUAAGCACCGGCUAACUCUGUGCCAGCAGCCGCGGUAAUACAGAGGGUGCGAGCGUUAAUCGGAUUUACUGGGCGUAAAGCGUGCGUAGGCGGCUUUUUAAGUCGGAUGUGAAAUCCCUGAGCUUAACUUAGGAAUUGCAUUCGAUACUGGGAAGCUAGAGUAUGGGAGAGGAUGGUAGAAUUCCAGGUGUAGCGGUGAAAUGCGUAGAGAUCUGGAGGAAUACCGAUGGCGAAGGCAGCCAUCUGGCCUAAUACUGACGCUGAGGUACGAAAGCAUGGGGAGCAAACAGGAUUAGAUACCCUGGUAGUCCAUGCCGUAAACGAUGUCUACUAGCCGUUGGGGCCUUUGAGGCUUUAGUGGCGCAGCUAACGCGAUAAGUAGACCGCCUGGGGAGUACGGUCGCAAGACUAAAACUCAAAUGAAUUGACGGGGGCCCGCACAAGCGGUGGAGCAUGUGGUUUAAUUCGAUGCAACGCGAAGAACCUUACCUGGUCUUGACAUAGUAAGAACUUUCCAGAGAUGGAUUGGUGCCUUCGGGAACUUACAUACAGGUGCUGCAUGGCUGUCGUCAGCUCGUGUCGUGAGAUGUUGGGUUAAGUCCCGCAACGAGCGCAACCCUUUUCCUUAUUUGCCAGCGGGUUAAGCCGGGAACUUUAAGGAUACUGCCAGUGACAAACUGGAGGAAGGCGGGGACGACGUCAAGUCAUCAUGGCCCUUACGACCAGGGCUACACACGUGCUACAAUGGUCGGUACAAAGGGUUGCUACCUAGCGAUAGGAUGCUAAUCUCAAAAAGCCGAUCGUAGUCCGGAUUGGAGUCUGCAACUC